GACGAACGCUGGCGGCGUGCCUAAUACAUGCAAGUAGGACGCAGUUGCGAACGGGUGAGUAACGCGUAGGUAACUACCUAUUAGAGGGGGAUAACUAUUGGAAACGAUAGCUAAUACCGCAUACUAGUAGAUGUACCUGCGUUGUAUUAGCUAGUAGUUCGGGUAAUGGACUACCGAGGCAACGAUACAUAGCCGACCUGAGAGGGUGAUCGGCCACACUGGGACUGAGACACGGCCCCGACGCCUACGGGAGGGAGCAGGAGGGACUCUUCGGCAAGGGGGGGAACCCUGACCGAGCAACGCCGCGUGAGUGAAGAAGGUUGUCGGAUCGUAAAGCUCUGUUGUUAAGGAAGCGGUACUUAACCAGAAAGGGACGGCUAACUACGUGCCAGCAGCCGCGGUAAUAC
rnacentral:rRNA from 1 species